rnacentral:tRNA from 1 species
ACCUUCGUAGCAGAAUGGCAUAUGCGACGGACUAAGGAUCCGUGUCUUUUGUGGGUUCGACUCCCACCGGAGGUACCA